AUUAUUAGUGUCUUUUUAUUACUGUUGACUUAAUGAUUUAUAGAAAUAUAUUAUAAUCUAACAAGAUUAAAUGAAGAAAUAAAAACACUUAGACAAUGGCAUGUUUUGUGUAAAAAAAUGUAAACUUUGACUUGGCAAGUACAUAUGUUUUUAGGAAACAGAACUGCCACCCGAGAUGAAGAACUACAUUAAAGAGUUGGAUUGUAGCAUUCCGGGAACCAUGGAUAGGUUGAAGGUUCAGCUGAAAAAAAUUGUUCCAAAUGCAGGAAUGUAUGGAAUUACGGCGAAUUCUUUAGUCAUUGACAAGAUUACACUCCUUCAGUGAGCAUUUCUUAUAGAUUAUUGGGACCUGAGAGAAGCCACCCACCCAGAGGUUAUAGUCUUUUAUAAGUAUUUUACACAAAGUAGAUCUGUACUGCCUGUGCAUUAUAACUGAGGUUACAGCCAAUGUCAUGACUGUACAGACGUUUAGUCCUGACCUUGUAAAUUGUAUGACAAAUAUAAUAUUUAUGUGGUAGUAUAAAUUUGUAUAAAUUGUAAUUCAAUGUACAUUUUAAGGUAAACAAUUCUUAAAAUGUUGAAUAAAUAUACACGGAUAGUCCAAUAAAUAGUUUUAAAUUAUUUUCAAAGUACCUAUCAGAUUAAAUAUUCAACAAAAAUAAGCUGUAACUACUGGCAUUGAGUUUUUAACAAGAUGGUGGUAGUAGUUUAUUGUCUGUACACCACCUCGCAGAGUCCUGUCUGUCUUACCUCAGUUCUAAUGUGUGGAUUACGUCACAAAGUGGUAAAACUGUACAAUAUUUGUACAUGUAAAUAUAUUUAGUAGUCUAGAUUUAUACGAUUUUAUCAUUUUUCUUUGUGAACUUGUAAAUAAAUGUUACUUUUUA